ACGAGGUUUUGCGUGCUUGGUAACAGCUAUCACGUGGUUGGUAACGAGGCAUCACGUGCUGGUAGCAAGGUAUCACGUGGUUGAUAGCAAGGUAUCACGUGAUUGGCAGCAAGGUAUCACGUGCUUGAUAACAAGUAUUGGAAGUGCCAACCGCUUCCAAGCCGAGCUGAUUCCUCCAAGCAUAACAGGUUUUAGGUAUAUAACCUGUGUAACUUGAAAAGGCCUGCUACUCGCGGUCAAGCAACAUAACCCAGUCUGCCAAAACUGGCCACACACACCAUGACUCAGCCUAUGUAACAUGAACGUGGUAUGCAAGAUUUUAUAACCUCCAAACAACGUUCACAACAAGCACAAGGGGUUCUGGACAGACUUUAAUAUAAUAUAGGGUUUUUGUAAUUCAUCGCUUUUACCAUAUUGCCUAAAUAAGAUAUAUUUUUUUAACAAAAUUAUAUUCUAUGACUCAUGCUGUAAUUUUGUUACAAAUGCUAUGUUACAUAUUUUUCUUGAUGAUCUAAAUAAAGAUGUACAAAGUGC